GGAGCUGACUGGGACCAAUCCAUAUCGAAAACCUUAACUAGGAAGUGCAGACAGGAGCCUCCAGAGGAAAACCUCCCCAGAGAGAAGUUUACAGGCGAGAUCCUACUCACAGAGGCUCUUGGGAUCAAGGCUGACAGAAGCUCCAUCUGAAGACUUUUAUACUAUAGAGGCAGAAAAAGAGUGAUGAAUCAAGCACUGGCUUCUAAAGCUUCCGCCCAGAUGGGAAGCAUAUCUCCUCUGCUCACAUUUCCCUGACCAAAGCCAGUCACAUGGCCAUCCUCAGCUUCAGAGAGGUUGGGAAGGCAUUGCCACUAUGUGUCUGGAUGCCAGCAACUCAGAAAUAUUUGCCUUACAGAGACCUCACCAUUAACAGCAUCUACAAGAGAAGAUUAAAGCACACGAUUACUUUACUCACUGUGUAACACAUGAGGAACAUGGACGAGAUGGGAAAAAUGUGAGUGGCUUAACGUCAAGCACUUCAUUAAUGAGAUGAACUCCUGACUUUGGACAGUGGUCCGCUUACAGACGCUGUCUUUGAAACUGCCUGCAGAGCCUCCUGAGAUCUUCUAAUAUGGCUGUUGAAUUGGGGCAUUUAAAAGCUUCUGAUGGUUGCAAUGUGCAUCAGUUUUGGGGGACAGGGAGGUCCCCUCUCUCUCAUUAAGAAGACACAAGCCAGGAAUUUAUGCUGAUCAGACAACAUAAAAAUCAGCUCUGAGAGGAUUGGGUCAGAAAACCAAUGAAGAGAGGUUGGCCAGAAGAUUAAAAAUCAGAAAAAGAGGCUUGAAAUUGCUGAGCUUUCUAAUGAUAAUAAGGUUGCCACCUAUUAUUAUGGCCACUCAUGUUGUCCCCCUGUAUAUGAGAGCUGUGAGAGUAACAAAGUGUUACGUGUCAAGGGUCACAUGAGACAAUCAAUGUGAAAGAUGGAAAGAGAGGGCUGGUGCCUAUCACCUAGGAAUGAUAGGUGAUAUGGCCAAGGUGAUAAACAGUGAGAGGGGGCGAGUGUCUCUUCCUCGGUGGAAGUUGGAGUAAAUGUAGACACGGAUAGAGAACAAAGUCUACUUAUUCAAAACCGAGCAGCCAGGGGAAGAGCAGUCCUCCCACAGUGAACUAUUGAAUUGUGAAUAAAUCUCUGACUGGAGAGAUUCUGAGUUAGGGGGGUUAGCUGUUCCUAUAUUACAUGUGGUAAACUGGCAGAAACAGGUUUAAACCAUUGAGUGGUAGGUCUUUAGGCAGAGUAAAAUUAAUGUGCCCUUCCUUAAUGGCUUUGGCUGUUUGACCAUGUAAACGCAUUUUGAGUGCCACGUCUCUAGCGGAGGCUAAUCACUGGGAGGUAAAGAUGACCACAAGUUGCAGGCAUCUCGGGAUCACAGGUCUAGAGCGGGAGCCUGCAGCCUCUCUGCCAGUUUCCCAUGAGUUAUCUCACUAUUGUGGCUUUAAGACAAUAUGCACUGCAAAAGGAAGGUUAUUUACAUUAUAUAUUUAGCCUAACACUAGGAUAACAUCCUUUGGCAUGGCCACUAUCUGAUGGUAUUUGAAACUGAACCAACUUCCUAUUUCCAGGCAUUAACAAAUGAGAGUCUUCAUGUUGUCUAAUGUUAUUUCCUGAGUUUAAGACUGAUUUCUUUUCCCCAAUUCAUUCACAUUUCUUUAAAGAAAAGAUCUCCUUUAAACAAUUAAAUUUCCCAGAAUUGU